UGGGCCCUUAGCUCAGCUGGGAGAGCACCUGCCUUGCACGCAGGGGGUCGACGGUUCGAUCCCGUUAGGGUCCACCAU
rnacentral:tRNA from 1 species